rnacentral:piRNA from 1 species
UACUGAUCCUUGCAGAGCGCUUGUCUA